rnacentral:rRNA from 1 species
AUGGAGGUGGGCUUGCGGCUACGCGCUCUCGCUCACAGCCGCGCGGCAUUCGCCGGAUUUUCAGUGGCCGCGCACGGCUGCAGGCAUCGCCAACCGCGCCGCGUAGCCUCUUCAUCUGCCUCCUGUUCCCUUGCAGUUGCUUCCAGCGGCAAUGGAGCCGCGGCUGGACCCGUGGGGAGCGGCGUGGAGGUCGCGCGCGCCAAGAGGAUGCUCCAUGUGGUGCUGGUUUCCCCUCUGAUCCCAGGAAAUACAGGAUCAAUUGCAAGGACUUGUGCAGCAUCAGCAGUUGGCCUCCAUCUUGUCGGGCCAUUGGGUUUUCAUGUAGAUGACACAAAACUUAAGCGUGCUGGAUUGGAUUAUUGGCCAUAUGUUGUCGUUAAGAUUCAUGACUCCUGGGAUGAGUUCCGAGAUUAUUUCAUGAAGCAGGAUGGGCAAAAAAGAUUGUUGGCAUUUACCAAAAGAGGCACCCACAUUCAUUCAGAUUUCUCAUAUAAGCCUGGGGACUGGCUAGUAUUCGGGUCCGAGACAAAAGGGCUACCAGAGUCCGCCCUGGAAGACUGCUCCGGAGAAGCCCUGGGUGGUGGAACCAUCCGAAUUCCGAUGGUGGAAACCUAUGUCCGGUGCCUGAACCUCUCGGUGAGCGUUGGAGUAGCGUUGUACGAAGCAGCGAGGCAGCUGAACUACCAGCAGCUCCAGUACCAACCUGAUCUCCCAGAGGAAGCGCAAGGACUGUUCCCAGCAGAGGAUAUUUAUGGAUGA